ACACACACACACACACACACACACACACACACACACAGUUGUAUCUGAAUCAUGUAUUCAGUUGUCCUGCAGGUCUCUAUAAUACAGUAAACAGAGAAUACACACACACACACACACACACACACACACACACACACACACACAGUUGUAUCUGAAUCAUGUAUUCAGUUGUCCUGCAGGUCUCUAUAAUACAGUAAACAGAGAAUACACACACACACACACACACACACACACACACACACACACACACACACACACACACACACACACACACACACUUGUAUCUGCAUCAUGUAUUCAGUUGUCCUGCAGGUCUCUAUAAUACAGAAACAGAGAAUACACACACACACACACACACACACACACACACACACACACACACAGUUGUAUCUGAAUCAUGUAUUCAGUUGUCCUGCAGGUCUCUAUAAUACAGUAAACAGAGAAUACACACACACACACACACACACACACACACACACACACACACACACACACACAGUUGUAUCUGCAUCAUGUAUUCAGUUGUCCUGCAGGUCUCUAUAAUACAGUAAACAGAGAAUACACACACACACACACACACACACACACACACACACACACACACACACACACACACACACACACACACACACUGUUGUAUCUGCAUCAUGUAUUCAGUUGUCCUGCAGGUCUCUAUAAUACAGUAAACAGAGAAUACACACACACACACACACACACACACACACACACUGUUGUAUCUGCAUCAUGUAUUCAGUUGUCCUGCAGGUCUCUAUAAUACAGUAAACAGAGAAUACACACACACACACACACACACACACACACACACACACACACACACACACACACACACACACACACACACACACACACACACACA